UACGAAGGGGGCUAGCGUUGCUCGGAAUCACUGGGCGUAAAGCGCACGUAGGCGGAUUGUUAAGUCAGGGGUGAAAUCCUGGAGCUCAACUCCAGAACUGCCUUUGAUACUGGCGAUCUUGAGUCCGGGAGAGGUGAGUGGAACUGCGAGUGUAGAGGUGAAAUUCGUAGAUAUUCGCAAGAACACCAGUGGCGAAGGCGGACUCACUGGCCCGGUACUGAGCGCUGA
rnacentral:rRNA from 1 species